CGAAUACUAAAGAAUGUUAUCAUGGGAGACACACGAUGGGUGCUAACGUCCAUCGUGAAAAGGGAAACAACCCAGAUCGCCAGCUAAGGUCCCAAAAUCAUAAUUAAGUGGAAAACGAUGUGGGAAGUCAUAAACAACCAGGAUGUUGGCUUAGAAGCAGCCAUCAUUUAAAGAAAGCGUAAUAGCUCACUGGUCGAGUCAUCCUGCGCGGAAAAUGUAACGGGGCUAAAUUAUGUACCGAAGCUGCGGCAACAAUAUAUGAAAUAUUGUUG
rnacentral:rRNA from 1 species